AAGAGAUCAGAUCUCGAUGACUUCAUGGAGCAGUUAAACCUGGAUGAUGAAGUCUUUGACAAUCUGGUGAUUGAUGAGAAUGAUCCCGAGAUCAAUGAAAGUGUUAGAUGGUUAGCCCUAGCUAGGGUUCACAUGGACAAAACCUUCAGCCCGGCCGCCUUCUACAAGGAUAUGCGGGCGGCGUGGAACCCUGCCCAGCAGGUGAGAUUUCAUCCAGUUGGCCCUAACUUGUUCGUUGUUCAGGCCGCUUGCCUCGGUGACUAGGAAUAG
rnacentral:rRNA from 1 species